rnacentral:rRNA from 1 species
CGGCUCAGGACGAACGCUGGCGGCGGGCCUAAUACAUGCAAGUCGAACACAGUCGACCUUCGGGUCAUAUGACUGAGUGGCGAACGGGUGAGUAACACGUGAGAAACCUGCCCCGAAGACUGGAAUAACCCGAGGAAACUCGGGCUAAUACCGGAUGUCCCCAGAUGGCCGCAUGGCCGACUGAGGAAAUGCUCCGGCGCUUUGGGAGGGUCUCGCGGCCUAUCAGCUUGUGGUUGAGGUAACGGCUCACCAAGGCCCCCCACGGGUAGCUGGUCUGAGAGGACGACCACCCACACUGGGACUGAGAUACGGCCCGAACUCCUACGGGAGGCAGCAGUGGGGAAUAUUGGACAAUGGGGGCAACCCUGAUCCAGCAAUACCGCGUGUGUGAAGAAGGCCCGAGGGUUGUAAAGCACUUUCAAUUGUGAAGAAAAGUUAACGGNUAAUAACCGUUGACCUUGACGUUAACUUUAGAAGAAGCACCGGCUAACUCCGUGCCAGCAGCCGCGG